AGCUUCAGCGUGAAAUUAAUGGAGCUUAGCCAGAAACAAAUAUACUAAAUACACAAAAAUGGCUGCUCCUGUGAUCAGAAAAAACUUUUUAACUUUUAAAGGUUUUAGAACUAACUUACGACAUAUUCAUACUGUUAAAAAGCCUCAGACAGGUUUAAAUACAACUCUUCUCAUUGGGACUUCAUGUACUUGUUUCGUUGCAUGGCAGGCGUGGCGGAAAUAUCGCCAAAAUGACGACUUUCUGCCAAAAGUUUAUGCUGCUCAAGAACCUGGAGAGAAAAAGUCUCAUCCAAUGACCCAUAGAGAGGAGCGGUUUCAACAAUUUGCGUCUGUACAAUGUGAUGGUGUUAUUUACAUGACCCCUCAAGAUUUUCUUGAGUCAGUCACGGAAGAAGUUCCAAGACAUAUGAAAAAUGGAUCUUCUGCUCGUAUUGGACGUACAAAUCUGACACCAGCAGAAGCUAAUGAAUGGCUCAAGAACACGCCAACAAAGAGGCGCGGGUCAAAGACACUGUUCAGAUCCAUGCAUGAUAAGGGUCUGAUCUCGUAUACAGAGUAUCUCUUCUUGCUGUGUGUUCUAACAAAGCCCCAGUCUGGUUUCCGCAUUGCCUUCAAUAUGUUUGAUACUGAUGGGAACCAAAUUGUGGACAGAAAGGAGUUUUUGGUUAUAGUAUCAGUGUUGGAAUCAUUCUUCACUCUUCCUCCACACGAGCGCAAGUUUGUGCCGCGAGAAAAAAAGCACUUGCAGGCAUUACUAGAUCUAGAGGGUGUGUUUAGUAAACAGAGGGACUCUAGCACAAAGAAACGCUCCGACAAAACAGAAGACACCGCAGAAAAAAAGUACAAUUUGUACCACCAGAAAGUCUUGGCAGUCGAGCCGAUUCAGGACACCACAUUGCUGUUACAUUUCUUUGGAAGGAGAGGAAAUGAUGUGCUGAAAUAUGAAGAUUUUCACAAGUUCAUGACAAAUCUUCAGAGUGAGGUGAUUGAGCUGGAAUUUCUUGAGUUUUCUAAGGGUAUGCUGACAAUCUCAGAGGAAGACUUUGCAAAUAUACUUCUGCGUUACACAAACCUUGACAAGCUUGAGAUUGGAGAAUGUCUUGAAAGGGUGAAGCAAAGGAUGCCAGAAGAAAAGGGAAUAACUUUCGAGGAGUUUAGACAGUUCAGUCAGUUUAUGAAUAGUUUAGAUGACUUUGCAAUUGCGAUGAAUAUGUACACAUAUGCCCAGCAACCUGUCUCAAAAGAGGAGUUCCAGAGAGCGGUUAAGAUCUGUACAGGGACGGAGCUUGGUUCUCACAUUGUUAGUACUGUGUUUAACAUGUUUGAUGUGGAUGGAGAUGGACAUCUCAGUUAUAAGGAAUUCAUUUCCAUUAUGAAAGACAGGAAGCAUAGAGGCUCAAGGCUAAUUGGGUCCCACAAUCAGCACACACCAAGAAGUUGGGAUGCUUUCAAAGCUUGUGUGAAAAAUGAAAUGAGAUCCUACUGAUAGCCUGCAGUAAAACUUACAUCAUCAUUACCUAGAAUGUAGCCUGGAUGAGAAAUCAUGUGAUAGUGUCCUAGAAUCAACUCUUCUUCCAAGCCAGCUGAUCCAGGAACACAAACCUAGAGAACUCUACUGCUUGAAAUAUUUAACCACUAGCAAGAUCAUAACUGGAUGAACUUUUUAUUAAUUAUUUAUUCUGUAUCCAACAAAGUGACUUAAGAGUAGAAAUGCUCUUGUUAUCAAGACUAGAGAAUAAAAAUUCUUUGAAUAUUUUAA
rnacentral:misc_RNA from 1 species